rnacentral:rRNA from 1 species
GAUGAACGCUGGCGGCGUGCCUAAUACAUGCAAGUCGAGCGAACGGACGAGAAGCUUGCUUCUCUGAUGUUAGCGGCGGACGGGUGAGUAACACGUGGAUAACCUACCUAUAAGACUGGGAUAACUUCGGGAAACCGUAGCUAAUACCGGAUAAUAUUUUGAACCGCAUGGUUCAAAAGAGAAAGACGGUCUUGCUGUCACUUAUAGAUGGAUCCGCGCUGCAUUAGCUAGUUGGUAAGGUAACGGCUUACCAAGGCAACGAUGCAUAGCCGACCUGAGAGAGUGAUCGGCCACACUGGAACUGAGACACGGUCCAGACUCCUACGGGAGGCAGCAGUAGGGAAUCUUCCGCAAUGGGCGAAAGCCUGACGGAGCAACGCCGCGUGAGUGAUGAAGGUCUUCGGAUCGUAAAACUCUGUUAUUAGGGAAGAACAUAUGUGUAAGUAACUGUGCACAUCUUGACGGUACCUAAUCAGAAAGCCACGGCUAACUACGUG